rnacentral:lncRNA from 1 species
UGAUCUGAGCACAAACUCUUUUAAGAGCAAUUCAAAUUCAUAAUUACAAGGAAAGUUGUUUUUUGCCACGUCACACACGGAUUUGGGUAUUAUUGGGUUUCUUUUUUUUUUAUGACCGCAUGUUAAUUUUACUCCUCUUAAAAAAAUAAAAAAAAAUUUCGAAAAAAAAAUCAAAUUUAUUUUUAUAUAAAAAAGUUCGAAUUUGAAAACAUAUAAUCUAAAACUAUAUAAAAAAGUUUUAAUUUUUUUAUUUUUUUAUUUUUUUAUUUUUUUGUUUUUUUUAUUUUUUUAUUUUAUAUAUUUUUUUAUUUUAUUUAUUUUUUAUUUUUUGUAUAUCUAAGGUAUUAGUGUCAUUUUACCUGUUAAAUGAUAUAUUUUGGUCAUUUUCGUCCUUGUGAUCUAUUUUUGUGACCAAAACUUGAAAAUAGUAUAUUUAGGAGAAUUGCUCUUAAAAGAGUUUGUGCUUAGAUUUUCUUUGUAAUUAUUAAUUUUACUCCUCUUUUCUGAAAAGAGCAAUUCUUCUAAAUAGACAAUUUUCAAGUUUUGGUCACAAAAAUAGAUCACAAAGAAGAAAAUGACCAAAAUAUUUCAUUUAACAGGUAAAAUGACACUAAUACCCUAGAUAUACAAAAAAAUAAAAAAAUUAAAAAUAAUAAAAAAUUUAAAAAAAAAUAAAAAAUAAAAUAAAAUAAAAUAAAACUUUUUUAUAUAGUUUUAGAUUAUAUCUUUUCAAAUUCGAACUUUUUUAUAUAAAAAUAAAUUUGAUUUUUUUUUCGAAUUUUUUUUUUAUUUUUUUAAGAGGAGUAAAAUUAACAUGCGGUCGUAAAAAAAAAAGAAACCCAAUAAUACCCAAAUCCGUGUGUGACGUGGCAAAAAACAACUUUCCUUGUAAUUAUGAAUUUGAAUUGC